GGGGGCGCGGGAGUAUAUAAGGGCGGGAGCGCGAGAGAGCGCCAGAGCGCUCGGGGUCGCGGGAGCGCGCGGAGGGAGGAGCCGGCGAUGCGGGUCUGCCAGGUGAGAGCGAGAGAGCGUGAGAUGCGAAAGCACGUGCCAGAUAGCCGCAGCGUGCGCGCCGAGCAUAUCGCGCACGCUAAUUGCCGGGAACAUCGCAGACUCUCCGAGAGACCUCUUCCUAGGUACCGAGAGCCCUAUCUCGGAUGAAGUAUCGCUAUUAAGAUCCAUCCAGCGUCCUCGAAGAAGUGCGAGCCCACCGCGAAGGUAGGUGCCGCCCCGACCUCCGGCUCUCGUCAUGCGAAUUUACUUGCGACGUUUAUGCAGCCUACACGGCAGGGAAAGCCGUAACUCACGAUCGUCGGCGGGAAAACAAUCCCCUGUCUGGAGCCGUGUCUCGACUUUAGGCCGUGGCCAUGGCGGCCCUCGAGACUGCUCGGCUCGUAAUUCCAUACCUCGCGUUACGACCACCUAGGAAAAGUCGAAGGCCUGCUGUUAAGCGACGCCCGGCGUCGAUACAUCGAUACGGCAACGAGAUACGAUACGCUCGAUCGGAUGCCUUCGCCAAUCGGUUAUUGAUUACACGAGUGACCCGACGACCAAUGUCGAGACGGAGGUCGCGCUCGGUUGGACUUUCGAUUCAUGUAAAAUAGUACAAUUCUUUGUUAUUUUGUUAUAUGAAAUUAUUUUCUAUAUGAAAAGAAUAUUAGUA